GAUGAACGCUGGCGGCGUGCUUAACACAUGCAAGUCGAACGAAGCACCUUGAUUUGAUUCUUCGGAUGAAGAUCUUGGUGACUGAGUGGCGGACGGGUGAGUAACGCGUGGGUAACCUGCCUCAUACAGGGGGAUAACAGUUAGAAAUGACUGCUAAUACCGCAUAAGACCACAGUACCGCAUGGUACAGGGGUAAAAACUCCGGUGGUAUGAGAUGGACCCGCGUCUGAUUAGGUAGUUGGUGGGGUAACGGCCUACCAAGCCGACGAUCAGGAGCCGACCUGGGCGGGUGACCGGCGACAUUGGGACUGAGACACGGCCCAAAAUCCUGCGGGAGGCAGCGGUGGUGAAUAUUGCACAAUGGGGGGAACCCUGAUGCAGCGACGCCGCGUGAGCGAUGAAGUAUUUCGGUAUGUAAAGCUCUAUCAGCAGGGGAGAAAAUGACGGUACCUGACUAAGAAGCACCGGCUAAAUACGUGCCAGCCGCCGCGGUAA
rnacentral:rRNA from 1 species